CACUAGACCAAAUCGCAAAUAGUGUGACGAUAUGGAAUCAGAAGAAAAUUUGUGCCUAAUUGUGCCAUAUAACAUGUUUAUCAUGAUUUAUGUGUAGACAAAAUACAGUAAAUGACUCAAAUAUAUCUAUUGCAUUCAAAUAUUUAUUGUAUAUAAAUAUAAAACAUACCAAAAAGAAAAGAAAAGUAGUAUACAUUUUCUGUUUUCAUAUGAGUUUCAAUAGUUUGUGUUCAAGUUAUGGCAUUAAGAGAUUAAUUUUGCUGCAAUAAUUUCACAUUUGAGGUUUUGUCCAGUAAACUGAUUGAGUCAUUCGAUUCAAAUUCAGAAUGUCUUUUGGGAAAUAUUUCUCCCCUAAAGUUUGGUGCUUUGGACAUGAGAGAAAGUUUAGCUCUGACUCAAGGUGCCCACUGUUACACUCAGAGCUGGCUUUGAAGCCAGCUCUGUCAAUGACAGUCCUUGGUACUUAUAUAUUUACUUUAAUAUACUUUAAUGUACUUUAAUAUUUUUUAUAUCAGGGGGUUCAGCUAAGCGGUUUGAUGUUUUGGUUCCUUCAGGUUGUUCUCACAGAACAACCUUUUUUACCUAUUUGUCAAUUUAAUUUAUUAGUUUUGGUCCCCAUAUUUUUACUGUCAUAUAGUUUUGUAGCCAGAUUUUAAUUAUAAUUUAGAUUCAAAAUUUUCUUUAUCUUAUGUCUGUCUGUGUGUUAGCUAAAGGAUUAACUCCAGCGCGACUCCCACUUCAUAACUGAAAUGAAGACCCGGUGGGGGGACUUAAAUGCAAAGGCUCAGUUUUAUGGAGUGUUCAAAAAAAUCAUGAGGCCUCCACUGCUGGACAAGGUGAAUGACUCGACAUCAUUGCAAAUGAGGGUCACCCCUCAUUUGAUCUCUCGAGUAUAAAAAAGGUUAAAUUAAUACCGACUGAUAAUGGAUAAUUCCAUAAAAGCAUUAAUGUUUGUUUAAUAACUGGCUGCAGGAAAACAAUGAGACUAUUUUUGUUUAUAACAGUAAAGCAGUCACUCACCAUGCUGAAGGCUUUGCCAGACAUGUUCCCAUCACCUGUGGUUCCACCUAAGAGGUUAGGACAUGCUAGUGAGGCUAUGCUUCACGUCCUUGAGUCUACAGAAGACCCCAGCACCUUUCCUCAGGCCAGACCGCUCUCCAGCCCUGUCGUCGUUGUCUGCGAAACAAACUGCAUCCUGGCCAUUGGAACAAUGGCUGUUCUAAUCUUCGCAAAAGAGGACAUCUAUGACUGA
rnacentral:lncRNA from 1 species